GACGGUCUGGGCAUCUCGGCAGGAGAGACAUUUCCCCGGGGCCUUAUCGAUCUCGAAGGGAGUUGUCCCUGACUGGACCCGUGGGUCUGGUCACACGGCGCCCACCUACUUUGUAGGUUCCCGGGAUCGACUUCUUCACCGGCUGCCUGGAUCGUCG
rnacentral:other from 1 species